UGGGGAAUUUUGCACAAUGGGGGAAACCCUGAUGCAGCGACGCCGCGUGAUUUAGAAGGCCUUCGGGUUGUAAAAAUCUUUUUUACGGGAUGAAAAUGACAGUACCGUAAGAAUAAGGUCCGGCUAAAUACGUGCCAGCAGCCGCGGUAAUACGUAUGGACCGCGCGUUGUCCGGAAUCAUUGGGCGUAAAGGGUACGUAGGCGGCCUAGUAAGUUAGAAGUGAAAUAAUAUAGCUCAACUAUAUAAAGCUUUUAAAACUGCUAGGCUUGAGAGAUGGAAGGGAAAGUGGAAUUCCUAGGGUAGCGGUGAAAUGCGCAGAUAUUAGGAAGAAUACCGGUGGCGAAGGCGACUUUCUGGUCAUCAUCUGACGCUGAGGUACGAAAGCGUGGGUAGCAAACAGG
rnacentral:rRNA from 1 species